CUCGAGGCCCCGGGGCGGGUCAGGCGUAGGGUGGGCCCGCUGCCCUCACACCCGCCCCGGCCGCACACAGGAGGCGCGAUCAGCAGAGUCGUUGGACAGUUCUGGAGGCCGGAAGUUGAGAUCAAGGUGUCAGCAGGGCUGUGCUCUGCGGAGAAUGCUGGGGAAGGAUCUGUCCAGGACUCUCUCCGCUUCUGGUGGUUCCUUGGCAUGUGGCAGCAUCACUCCAAUCAGCAUGUGGCAUCCUCCCUGUGUGCCUGGGUCUGUGUCCAGACUUCCCCUUUUCAGAAGGACACCAGCUGUGUUGAAUGACAGCCCACCUGGCUCCAGUGUGACCUCAUUCUAACUUAACUAACAUCUGCAAUGACCCUGUUUCCAAAUGAGGUCACAAUCUGAGGGACUGGGGCUUAGGACUUCAACGCAGGAAUUCGGGGGCAUACAAUUCAACCCAGAACAACAACCUUAUCCAUGUCUUCACUCUAUUUAAACUUCCUAACUCUUUUGGAGCUCGUUGUGAUAAGUUAUAUUUUUCUAAGAAACUAUCCAUUUGUUAAAUGUUUUCAAAUAUAGCUGAAUAAAAUGGAUCAAGUUAAUCUUUAUGAUUUUAUUUUCUGUUGCUUUUUCCUCUGCAAAAAUAAAUAAUUAAUUUU
rnacentral:lncRNA from 10 species